UUCGUGAUCGUACGGAGAGAAGUCGGUCAAAACAGGGUCACAAGAAUCGAUGAUGCGGACAGGGACUCAACGGGAAUUGAAUGCUUUGCGCACAUUUUUCGAUUAAUUUUCUAGGAUGUAUUUGGCAGUUAAAACAAAUUGGAGACAUCCCCAAAAUUAGUUUCAAUCAAUGCUAUAAUUAAUUAUGUUUAUUAUAAUUCCAUAAAUAGUUGUACAUAAGAGCCCCAUUUUUUUUUUUUAUGAAAAUGUAUUUUUUAACAGUGUUUUAAUCGUAUUUCAAUCACACAUUUUUCAAUAAAAUAAUAUUAUACAAAAAUUCAAAUUUUUUUCUUAUUUUCUAACUACACAUUCUCCAUCAUAACACUAUUGAAAAAUGCAUUUUUUGAAAAAUACAAAAAUGUGACUUAAACAACUCCUAAAUGGGUUAUAGGUCAAAAAUAUCUUAUUAUUCAUUAUCAUGAGCUUAUUUAAGAGAGAUUAAAUUACAAAUUCUAUAAGUCACGAUUUAUUUCACGGUCAUAAAUUAUCAAAUUAAUUGAUUACAGUUAUGAUCACAAAUUAUUAAAUUAAUGGAUUACAACUUAACAAAAUGUGAGUCGGGAUUACAAAUUUAAUCGAAAUUUCACAUUUUUUAGGUCAUUAUUUAUUGGUUACAAAUUAUAUAUUUUAUCAAUCACAUGUUAUUUAUUGGUCACAAACUGACUAAUUUAUUAACUACAAUCAAUCAAAUAAUUGGUCACACAACCUACCACCAUCAACAUUGCUGUUGCCACCUCAUCGCCAUAGCUAGCACCACCACCAACUACAAACACCACCCAAAAUCACAACACAACCACCGCAAAAUCGAGAUUCAAAUUAAGAGGGCUUCGAUCUUUAAAAACUAAAAUUGUCCAAUAACAACCUCACAUUCCAAAUAUAUAAGUUUUCAGACAAGUGGCUGUUGAUGAUGGCUGCUAUUGCGUUGCAUCAAGAUCUUGGGAGUAGAGGCAUUAAAGAUAUGACUGUUGAUGCGGCCACUACCUCGUCUUAGUCUAGAACACAAAGUUGGGCUUGGAGAUUGAAGUGGCAUUGAACUUCAAGAAAACGAUCGAAGAUCUACUUUUCCUUUGUUUACAAACCGAUUUGGGCCCUGACAUUAACACACAUUGAUUGAGAAUUUGCUUCUACGUGAAGAUUAACACGCAAAUUAUCACACACUAGUCGGAGAAGAUUUGUUUCUCCGUCAUAUCGAAGAUUAGCCUCUCAAUCACUUAAGUCAAUGCGCGUAGCGGCAUCGAGCGGCACUCACAGUGGCUUGUUGCUCUCAAAGUGAUGCCAUCGCGUCAACAACAUAGUAAGCAGCUAAGUGUCGCUCCGACGGUUCCUUUAAUGAUAGUGUGUAGUAAAUGGAAGAAGAGAGAUAUAGAGAGAGAAGGGAGAGGACAAAAUAAGUAUUUGGGAAUGAAAUUUGGUGGGAUGUAUGAAGGUAGGAUGGGUAUAGAUUAAUUUAAUUUUUAUAAUAUCAUUAUUAAUGUUAAAAUGUGGAAUUAUCACCUGAUUUUUGUAUAAACAAAUCUCAAACAUGAUUUCAAACUUAUAAAGCCCGCCUUCAUGUAAUUUCUACAUAAAUAAAGCCCAUGCACAAAAUUUAGAAAUAGACUGCCCUCCAUAUAUAGGAACAAUAAAGCUACUUGUACAAAGUUGGGUUACAAAGUGUGUUAGCAAAAUUCAUAGCAUCGAUUUGAAAUUAUUUAAAAAUCUAUGUUUGAAAUGAUUGGUGUGGAUGUUAUUUUGUUAACCAACUUUGUAACCCAUCUUUGUAAGUGUAGCAUAGUUCAUAUAGGAAUGGUCUGAUACAAAUUUUUUAAGGACGGCUCACUAAACUUCAAAAUGAGCCCCGGCUUCACCCCACAGAGGCCCUAGCCUUAAAUAUUUACUCAUGUUUGACUCCUAUGUUUAAAAUUUAUUUUAAUCAUAUAUUAUCUUAUUAAAAUAGUUUUUUUUUUAAUGUAGAUUUAUAAUUUCUUUCUAACUUCUAAAUAUAUAUUCUUCAAAAAAUCACCGUUCACAAAAUUAUGCUAAAAUAUCUUUGCUAAAUGGGGGUUCAUUUCAUUUUGCUUAUGAAAUUUAACUCAAGAGUAAAAAUAGAAAUCUACUUGAAUAUCGGAUUAAAAUUAAUCAUUGUCCAUGACAAAUGAUAGUUAACUCUAAUAUAUACUAUUUUUAGAUACUAGUAGAUCAUCUCUAUUUAACUUGACAAUCUUCCGUUAAUUAGCAUAGAAUUUUGGAUGAGGAUUAAAAAAAAAUCUUAAUUAAAAAUAAUAAAUCACACCAAUAUACAUUAAAGCCCUAUUUGGUGAUGAUUAAAAUUAAUAUUUUAAUAAAUUUUAAUAAAAAUUGAUGAAAUGUAUGGCUGAAAUUACAUAAUACUUUACAUACCAUUUUAUCAUUCUUCGAAAAUUUAAUUUUUAUUAAUCUUUCGUCCAAGAAAUUCCUUCCCCCCCCACCCCCCACCCCUCUUACAUCUAUAUUAAUUUUAUAUACAUUCAAGUAUCUUGACUACAUUAUUUUUUUAAGCAUUGACAACACUAUCAACAUUACAAUUUUUAAUUCCAUUUUUACACAAAAUUGUAUAAUUUUAUUUAUUUCCCCUCUUUAAAGUUUUCUCAUAAAAAAGAAUAUCAAAAACAGAAAAAAAAAUAUGAAUACUAUAAAAUUUGUUAAAUUGCACAACGCUACGAAGCUAUAACCUCAACUUAAAAUUAAAUUGAAAUUCAUGCAAACUAUAAAUCAUAUAAUUUAUUUUUUAUUUUUAUUUUUUUUCAAUUAUCAUUGAAUAUAACUUAUUUAUUGGACGAUGACAACUAAUAAUCUUCAUUUGUCCGUUUGAUAACGUUGUAAGAAAUCAAAUGAAGUUUUUGCUAUAUGUUCCAACACUAUUAAUUUAAUAAAAUUUAUUUUGUGUUUAUUAAAGAUGUAUUUAAAGAAUAUGAAGAUCAUAAUUUUUUUGUAAAGCAUGUAAUUUAAUACUGAUUUAUUAUUAUUAAUUAAGGGUGUUUCUUUCUGUUUAGCAAUUUACAAUCUCAUGAUUUUAGAUAUUUCUAUUUUCAUUGCAAAAUACGUUUUUUGUAACCAAUAACAAAAAUAUAGUCUGCGUUAUAUCGUAUGGAAAUUGAUAUACCCAAAAUGCAGUUAAUUUUGUAAAUUUCCCUUCUUUUAUUUAAUAUAUGUUGUAAAUGAUAAGUUUAUUAUUGAAUGACAAUUGUAACACAAUAGCUUAGUUAUCAUUAUUAUUAUUUUUAUAUAAUUCAAGGUCUUCUUUUGAAAAUAAGGGGUCCAAUUGCCACUCGUUCUCACCUAUCUUCCAAUUCUCGCUCUUGCCGUCAUUAUCCACUUGCGUCUAUUACCACCAACUGCUGCCUCCACCCGCCGUUAGAGUUGAUCUGAUUUUAUCCUUUUCCAUCUAUCGUCGAAACCAGACCAAAGCAACACCAAGCGUCGACAAAUUGAAUGGCCCAAAAACACCUACACAAUGUCCUCCUAGAAAAAAAAGAGGGAAAAGUUUUCAUUUCAGGUAAUUCUUCUUCCUCAUCACAAUAUAUAUACGUGUAAGUGGAUAUACAGACAUAUAUACAUACACGUAUGUGUAAUAAAUGCUCGUGUUGUGAUUUGGAUUCUGAAAUAGUAGAUCUUGAUGUGGGAUGAAGUUUCUGUAUUUGUUAAUGGCUUUACCUAUUAGAAUUUAUGCAAAAUGUCCAUCAAUUUUAGAUCUUGAUGUGGGAUGAAGUUUCCGUGUUUGUUAAUGGGUUUACCUAUUAGAAUUUAUGCAAAAUGUCCAUCAAUUUUAGAUGAAAAUGUGAAAAAUGUAUUGGGGUGAUUGAUUGUACACAUUUUGAGUUGUUUGACCGAAAACGAAUGGAUUCUAAUAAAAGUCAUCUGUCACUGUACAUUUUUAUGCAAUUAAUUAUGAUUUUUGUUUGCCAUCAAAUUUUCGUUUCGAUCAAAUUCUGAUUAGAGCAAUGCUACAAGUACAGUAAUUUUAAUAUCAUGAUUAACAGCAUUACCACAUACAAGAGGUGGGGCCCACCAUUCAAAUAAUCAUGAGCCCCACAAUUGUGCCGUACAAGUACAGCACUGUACACACAACAUUUUUCUUUUGAUUAUUGUGAUAUGAAAUAUUCAUCUUUAUAGUAAUUAUGCGUAAUUAUUGUAAUUAAAUAUGAAUUAUUCACUAAUCUUAAUUAGCUAAUUGUUUCCCGAUAAUAUUUAAUGCAAUUAUGACUUUGAUUCUACUAUGCAUGCCUUUAUAUGGAUUAAUAUUAUUUGGUUUAAUUAAAUUUUGAUAUAUUUCUUAUAAUUUGUACUCGUUAAUUCUUUUUACUCUUGAACAUAAUUUUAAAUUCGAGUUAUUGAAUAUAAUAAUAUAGAUCCGAUUUACAAUUUAUAAGAGCUAUAAAUAUUCUCAAAGAAUAUUUUUUGUUGCUCUUGAAGUGACACAACACUAUAACUAAUAUUUCAGAGAAAUAUUAUUUGCUCCUUAAAAGUAUGAAUUACUACCUUCAAUAUUUCAAAAAAAUAUUAAUUUAUUACUUUUGAAGAAGCGAUAAUAAAAUAUUUCGCGCUCUUGAAGUGGCACAAGUCUCAAAAAAUUAUAUCUUGAUAUGCUCCUAAAAAAAAAUACAAAUUAAACAAUUCAACACUGGUUGUAAUUCUUGAAGGAAAAUAAUUUAUUUUAGUUUAUUAAUAUUCAAGAAGAAUAUUAAUUUAUCACUCCUGAAAAGCAUACAACUCGAUGUUUCAAUAUUCUCCAAGAACAUCGCAUUAGUGCUUUUGAAAAACAAUAAAUCUUGAAAUACUAAUAAGAUUUGAGAAGUAUUUUAAAGAUAUCUGUUUAGCAGAUAGUAUUAUUAUACACACAAUUUUUAAAGAUGAAAGUACUUCUUUAAAAUUUAACAUUAGUGGAAAAUAAUAUUAAUAAGAUAUUGAGCUCAUUGAAUAUUGUUGAAAACUCCGAAAGAGUUAGUAUUAUUUUAUCAAAUAAUACAAAAUUAUAUAUUGGCAAUACAUUUUAUUCUUGCAAAUUCAAAACAAUUUGCUUAAUUCGAAAGAUAUCCAUUAAAAUGGAUAUUACAUUUAGAAGAUGCAAAAAAAUAAUAUAAAAUAUCUUUGUAUAAUUUUCUUUUUGUAUCUAGCUAGAAGUAGAUAAAAGAAAACUCCCUACACUCAAUUUGGCAUGCACUAUACAUUCAAAUGAUAGAAAUCACAAAUUAUCACGAACCCGAAGUUCGUUGGUCCUAUGUUGACUCAUAUCGAAAUCAACAGUGCAAAAAUUCGUAGAAUUUAGACAGGCAGCAUAACUGUGAUGAAAAUAUUGACAUCUCAUUGUUUCGUGGUCCGAUCGUCCUAAAAUUUGGACAGAAAGUUCACAACUCAUCCUUCUUCAAAUUUUAAUUGUUCCUACCAAAAUUCAAUAGUUCAUUUGUGAGAAAUAGCUAAGUGAAUAGUAACAAAUUUUUAAAUACUAUAAAUUUUUUGAUGUGAGAUUUGUUAACUAUUCAAGAUUUUCUAAAGUUUUCAAAUUUUAGUAUCUUUUUUCAAAAAUUUUCUGUCCAUGUUAUAUGUUUUUAGUUUUUAGAGUAGAUAAAUAUUUUUUAUUUAAUUUUUACUCCUGAAGAAAUACAAUUAUAUGUUAUAUUUGUACUAAAUGAAUACGGUAUUGAUGGUCUAGAAGAAACACAACUAACCUUAUAUAAAUGUUUCAAAAAGAAUUGUCUACUUAUGAAGAGUAUAUUAGUACAAUUUCAAUAUUUUAGAAUAAUAUUGAUAUGCUAUUCCAAAAAAAUAAAAAUAAUAUACAUUAGUAUUCAUAAAAAAUAUCGUAUUGUGUUCUUCGAGAAGCACAAGUUAUACAUAGUACUAUUUUAAAAGAAUAUUAUGAUUAAUUUAAAUAUAUCAACAUUUCUAAAAAAUAUUGAUAAAUUACUUGUGAGGAAUCAUAAUCAAGUAUAUAGUAAUUAUAUGACGAAUUUCAUGUAUUAAAAUACAGAAAUCAUUAAAAGUUAUGUUUUUGAGAAAUACAAGUGAUCUUGACCUUGUUGUAAUUGCAACAUUGUGAAAAUCAUCUGAUUAAUGAUCUGAAUGUUUGAAAACGAGGGGCCACGUGGCUUAAAUACUGGUCUUGGAGAACUUGUUGAAAAUUUAAUUUGUUAAGACUUGACUCGUUCUGUACUUGAAUUUCGGGACUUGAACUUAAACUUGAACUUGAAUUCGAUUUGAUAUGAAGAAAACUUUAAUCUUCUUGGACUUGAUGCGAAUAUGUUUGAUUCGAAGAAGAUUUUGAUCCUGUUGGGGUUCAUCGAGUUUAAGUUUGAGAGAAUUUCUUCAGUAUUUCAUGGUUGCCUUCUUUGCUUUCUCUUCUUCUUGCUUGCUUUUUUUUUUUUUUUUUUUUUUUUGUUGCCUUUUUUUUUUUUUUUUUUUUUUUUUUUUUUUUUUUUUUUUUUUUUUUUAUCCGUGUCUUAUGGACGAUUGGUCCUAACUAUAGAAGAAAAUUUGUGCUAAUUUUGAUAAUCACUCAGUUAUAUUUAACUACAAAUUAAUAAUUGAGUAAUCCUAUUGCAUGCAGCCGCGCAUCUGAGUUGACAUAUAAGUCACCCUUACUGUCACUCUACAGAACUACACAUGAGAUUUUCAUCUUAUACAGCUCCUCGUUCAAUUCUUUCAAAUUCAUUGGAACCCUGGGGUCCAUUCGAUAUUUUCCUUGGGGGACAAAAAAUAAAUCCACUUGAUUUCAGAGUUGGAAAGAUAGAAUAUCACCGCGUGAACAUAACAUUAAGUUACAAAUGUAACUCCCGUUUUGAGCCAACGGUGACCGGUUUUCAAAAAGCACCUUUGGGUGAUGGUUUUUCUAUCCUCUCUCUCACUUGAAGAUAUGAUUAUUUAUUAUUUGUUUAUUCAUUUAUUUAUUUAAAGAGUGAGAUGGGCCUUCGAGUUUAUGAACUUUAGUAAACUUUAAUUUAAUUGAGCUAAUGAUUUAAAUCGGCCAAAUCCAUUUUCUUUAAUUUUAAUUUUCUUUUACGUCUAUAGUAAUAUUUCAAAAGAAUAUUGUUUUGAUAUUAUAGAAAAGUCAAUAUUGUGUCAUAUAGGAGAAUAAAUUUUUUACUAUUCAUAGUAAUUUUUCUUUACUAAAUUAAAGAAAAACAUGCUAAGUUUCUAAAAUGUGUGGUACAAUUAAAAUAAAUACUAUAUUGAACCAGAAAUUAAAUUUGAUUUUAUUAUUUGGUAUGACUAGUUAGACCAUCACUAAAUCAAUAAUAAUAUGAAUUUAAAAAUUCAAAUGGAUAUUCAACAAAGAACCAAAAGAUUCUUCAAUCCAAAAAAUUCCUAUAUAUUAUUUGUUCUCUUUAUUGGACUGAAUUACUUAUAUUUCUAAAAUUAAUUAGAGCGAUAAAUAGUGCCCAUCAUCAUAUUGAACAUCUAGAUAUAAUUUGUAUCUAAUGAAUUUGAUACAUAUAAUAGAUGAUUUUUAUGAUGUUUGCAAUAUGAAAUUUACGAAGUUAUUGCUCAAAGUUUAAAUUGCGAGCAUAAUUUUUGGAUUAUACAGUCAAGACGAUUUGUCUUGUUAAUGCAAGUGACCCUAAAUCUCCAUCUUUUAAUAAAUGUCAGAUGGAAUGUCGAUAAAUGGCUUAACAUUAUUGCUUGUUAAAUGCUUCAUAUUAAUUUAAUUGAAAACAAAAUACUUUUUAUUUCUGUUUAGGGGAUGCUAUUACGCACCAUGUCAAUAUCAUAAUUCUCCCUAUUAUAUUUGGCUUAUAGUUAGAGCCUUACAUCUAAUUAUUUUGAUAGUGCAGUACACGUAAAAUUGAUCCAACUCAAUACAUUGAGAUGAAAAGUAAAGAAUGCUGAGAAUAAAUUUGUAACUUGAACCCUUAUCCCAAAUAGGUGAUAUUUUAUAACGAAGUAAAAAUGAUUAUUAAUUUGAUUAGACAAUUUUCUCAACAUUAAGAGGAGGAAUUAAGAAGUUGAAAAUAAUGUACAAAUGCAUCAUUAUUCUCGUAAAAGAUAAUUCAAACCAGAUGUUCGAAAGAUAAUUUAUUUAGUGCAUUUAUUGACCAAAGAAACCAAUAAUAUCUCACGCAUUAGCUUUAAAUGAUUUAACACGAAUUGAUGUAAUAUGAGGACAAUUUGUUAGCAUUAUAUUUGAUAUAUUUAUGACACAUUGAAGUGUGAUGGUAAUAGGAAUGGCAAUCAGGCUCGUCCGCUUGGAAAAACCAAGCCAAGGCUAGGGUCGAGCCCCAUUUGGGGGUGUCGGACAUAGCUUGAGUCGGCUCAUGUAACUCGUUGGCUCGAGCUUACUAGCCUAUAUUUAAAAAAUAAUAAUAACAGUAAUAAUUUAAAUGUAGCAACACGCUGCCUUUUAAAAGGCAGCCUAGUGCUGCUCUUUUUUUUUUGUUUUUUAACUUAAACAAAAAAUUCAAAACCAAAACCAAAAUCGAGCUUGCUCGGCUCGGCCCGAAAAGGCCUAAGCCAAAAGCUCGAGUUGAGCCUAAUUUUUUUGCUCUGCUCAGGCCCGAAAAAAGCUCAUUAAUUUUACCUGAGCCUCAAGUUUCGACUCAUUGACAUCCCUAGAUGGUUUUCAAUUAUAAUAUAAAAAUCUCCAAACAAAAAUGGAAUAAUUAGUAAAGAUAGUCCCAUUAAGGAAUCAUAUAUUAUUAAUAAGUAUUUAGUCAUAACAAAUUAUAAAACCUCGGGAUAUGUUCAAGUAUCUGAUAUGUUGAAAAUUGAGAUAUAUCUUCAAGUUAUGACGUUAUACAAAAGAAAUAGUUAUGAUAAAAGUAUUUGACAACAUUUUGUACAAGAUGUACAACAUUAUAUAGCAAAGAAUUGAAAUAAAUGAGUCGAAAUAUAUCAAUUGAAGUAAUGAUUGGAUAAAAUAAAAAGAGACGCAAUCCAAAAUUGAAUUUACUAAAGAAACUUAAAGUUUUUGGACUUGCAGUCUGAAAAUCUAAAAGUGUAUACUUAUGUGAAAUGAAAAUAGAAAAAGUAAAGUCGUAAUAUGAAAUGUACAACUUUUUAUGUAAUGAAUUUUGUGAUCACUCGUGAAAGUAGAUAAAUUAUUAUGUGUGGAUGUAAUCACAAAUAUUUUUUAUCAGUUUAAGAACAUCUCUGAGAGAUUCUUUAAAUAUGAGAUAUUCUCUUUUUUAAAAGUUAACAUUUAAAAUCAUGCUCUAAGAUACUUCUUAAAUUAUCGUUUUAAUUUAGAGAGUGGAUUUGACUCUUUAAGUUAAAAUAAGAGAUAGAGAAAAAUAAUAAAUACUUUUGGGAAUAAUUAAGUGUUAAACAUAAAUAUUAUGUUGGAGUACUUUAAAAUUUUAACUCAAUAAAUUUAUGGAUGCUCUUUAAAUGAUAGAACAUGCUUUUUAAAAAUAGAGAGUUUCUUGAAAAUACUCUAUAAAUGUGGGGAAUUGGAUAUACAUAUAAUAAAUUUGGUUAUAGCCUACUCAUCUGACAUGGCUAUUAACGUUACCUUGAAAUGUUUAAUAUGCUUGAAACAUAUAAUUCAAGUGAUAAUAUCAUGAUGGAGAGUAAAUACGUGUUAUAAUAUUUUUUCUUUGAUCAAGAUUUUAUUACUCUUCUAUGUAUGAGACUACUGAAGAGAUCAACGAGAGUUGUUUUCGAAUCAUCAUAUUAUUACAGUCAUUAACAGUUGAUAAAUUUUUCGUAUGAAGACGGUGCUAUUUAAAGAAAUUAACAUACAUGAUAUUAAUAUUGAAGACAUUGACAUACAAGACACAGAUCGCUUGAUACAGGAAUUGAAAUCAAUAUGAGUAGCCGUACUCUUUUUCCUUCAAUCACGUUUUGUUCCGCUAGAUUUUCUUGACAAAGUUUUAAUGAGACAACAUUUUGUUACUCCAAAUUAUUUGUACUCUUUUUUCAUUUGUUAGCAUUUUUGUCUCGUUGAAUUUUUUUCCUGACAAUGUUUCAACGAGACAUAUAUUUUGUAAUAUGUCAUUCAAGGAGAGCGUUGUAAAUGAUAACUACAUUUAUGAAUGUCAAUUAUACCCCAACGGUUCUAAAAAUUAUUAUCAUUGCAUCUCUAAUUCCUCCCUAUAAAUAUGAGGUUGUGGCUAUUAAUAAAACAUACAAAUCUAUUGCCAUCUCACCCUUGUUCUUUCUAGUUUAUAAUAAUAUAUUUAUUAUAUAAUUUUUGUCAUUACUUUCUAGCAGACUUUUUUUUCCCUCCUUCCGUGAGUGGGUUCUUUUGUUGUCUUUCAGGCAAUAAUCAUUGAUUGUGUACCAAGGUUUUUAUUUUCAUUUUCAAUAAUGAACUGUUGCUAUCAAUCCAACAUUUUUUGUACAUAAUGAUCAACAAAAAAAGUUGUUCGAAUUCCAUAUCUAAUUUCUUAAAAACAAGUAGUUUUAAGUUUUAUGACAUUUUUUACAAAAUCCCCAUUUAUCGUAGUUCAAUUGUUAUUCAAUGUCAUCAAAAAUUGGAGACACGAGUAAAGACCAGUUUAUUGGAAUGUUCAAUAAAGACAUUCGUCAUGUCAUCAAGUCAUAUAAAGCGUAACAAAAGCAUGGAGAGAGUAGAUGGUUGGUUUCAAUUUCAAUUUCCAAGUACAAGACAACCACAUUGCAAAUACAUUAUAAUUCACUUAUAUAUAAAGGCAAAUCAGAUAAGACUACCUCAAAUUAUAAGUUGCUCAUAUUUCUCAAUAUCCGUCUACAACUUCAUUUCGAGUAGGACAUCUCUCCUUACACUUUUUGGCAUUUCAAAUUGAACAAAAGGGCAUGUUCUUCUAUUGCCAUUUGAGUAAAAAUAUAGCGAUCAUAUAGAUUAUAAAUAAACGAAAUGUUUUUGUUUUUGUUUUUGUUUGUUUUUUUUUUAAUAUAAAUUAAUUUAUGGGCAUUUAGGUCCGCCUUCCUUAGUCUUCCAAUUAUUGUAACAAGGGCAUGUUUGUUUAUUGCCAUAAGUGCCUGGUGGCACACACAAGCACUUCGCACAGCACUUUUGACAGAAGAACAUGCAUGGCUUCUUAUGGGAUGUUGCUGAGCAACGGUACGUGCAUCUUGGAUUGCAAUCUGCGUCAAUAUUGGAACAAUAAUUUCAUCAUUUUUGAGUUCGACGGUACUCGAUAAUACCAAGAAAUUAAAUGAAAAGUUAAUUUAUCCAAUCAUAUGUAGCAUUUCUUAUACCUCGAGGAUGAAGUCUAUUGUAUCCCUGUCGAUGAUUCAAAAGAGAUCCAAGAAAAUAUGUUAGAUAUAGUGACAAACUAUAGUUCUAAAGAAAACGAAAGAGAAUAAAUGAAAUUGAAAGAAAAGAAAAGUAAAUUUGUUACCUCAACAACGUUGGAUAAUGUAAUCAAUACAAGUAGUGAUAUAACCAACAAAAUGCCUGUAUUGUACGGACGACCUGCCAUUUCUUGUUCUCUAAAAACUGACUUAACUCACUGAAUUACUGAGUAGAAUUUGGAGCCUUUUUAUUGCUAUAGAAUCAGAAUGGGAUCCAAAUUUAUAGGUGUUUCUUGGUGGACGUAUUUUGGGGUUGGGGUUGGGGUGGGGGUUGGGGUUGCGGUGGGGGUAAAGAGAUGCAUUGUUUGAGGGGUGGUAGAAUGUGUGGCGUAGGGAAGAUCCCCCCCCCCCCCCCCCCCCCCCCCCCCUUUUUCUUUUUUNNNNNNNNNNNNNNNNNNNNNNNUUUGGUCUAGUUUUUGCUAAUGAAAUCAAUUGUUACGUUAGAAUUGGUUUGGUUGGACUUUCAAGAAAUCGAUAUUGAACGUCCCAAUUUCGCUUCUAGACGAGAGUGGGGGUACAAUGAUGCAUUAUGUGAGGCACUUUUCUUUUGAUCUCGUCACACGAUUCUCAAUGGAACCGACUUGAUUCCCUUCUCAAGAAACAUGGACCAAAUCACUCAGUGCUCACCAAGUGGUGGGCGGGAUGGGGUGAAGAGAUGCAUUGUUUGAGGCGUGAACAUAGAAAAGAAUGCAAAUGAAAAGUCCAUAAAUAGAUGAUGAAAAUGGGAGCGUUAAUGGCGCCGUGUCUGUUGUUUUGAUUUUGUUUUGUUAUGAUUUUGUCAACCUUUAAGCUUGUUACUUUGUGUGCUUUAUUUCUUUGGCUUGUAAAGCAAUAGUGUAAUAUUUCAUUAAUAAUUGUUUUUUUUUUUUUUUGUCUCAAUGCUGUAAUGGAUUUUCAUUUAGAAUAUCACAAUCUUAAUGAUUAAUGCAAUCCAACACAAUCUUGAAAAGCAAUGCAUGUGGUCAAUCUAAAAUUUAUAUGAAACGCAGAUUCGUUUGUUGUUGUAUUAAUUAAAGAAAUACGAUACUCAUAAAUUUUGUCUGUUUUCUUUAAAAAUUAAUUUACUUGUACAAUUGUGAUUGAUAAUGAUGGAUGACAACAUCGAUGUUGUCAAAAUUUGGACCAUUCACUUAAAAAAUAGUUUUUGAAAUUGAUGAACGUGAUAUUGUCAAGUAUGAUUAACAAUCAAAAUUAUAAAAAGGGAUUGUACAGAUAGAGCGAUUGUUUCUUUAAUAUUUUUGACUCUAGUUCCCGAUAAAAUAAAUUGUUGUAGUUUGUUCAUGCAUUUUGUAUGACUUUUUCACACGUUUAAGUAGAAGUCAUCUACCAAUGAACAUGCCUUUUAUACAAUGUUGUCAAAAUCAAAUCAAAUCCAAAUGCUCGACUGAAAUUGAUUAGUUUAUUCCUAAUUGACUGUAUUUAAUUAAUAUUUUUUAAUUAUUGUGUCAACGUUUGACCCUUUUCUUUUCCCUCUAAUAGGUUAAAACAAGGAAAGUAAUUAAUCUACUUCAAUAAACUUGGAAUAAAAUGUUACUAAAAAAUAUGCCGAUUAAAAUCUAAUUAGUUUGACAUAAGUACAAGAUAUUUGAUUUAAGAUAUUACAAUAUUUGUAACAUCGAAACGAGUGAAAUAAGAAAAUUGGUUCAUUUAACUUUUUCAAUGGUAUAGAAUAUUGCAGUUUACAAUAGUACUUACUUCUAUAAUGCCCUGAAGCUACACAAAGAUUCCCAUUUAAAAUCAAAAUCAAAUAUACAGCCCCUAUUUAGUUUUGAUAAAAAAAAAAAAAAAGUUUUUAGUGAAUUUUUAUUUUAAAAAAAUGAAAAUAAUGUGUGUACAGCACUUACAGCCCUCUCACGAAUGUGUGGGCCGCGAUUAUUUUAAUUACAAGCUCCACUCCUUGUAUGUGAGAGGACUGCCAACCAUAUUGUCAAAGUUGUCAACCAUACAAAAAGUGUAGUUAAAAUUAAUUACUGAUUUUGACUUAAAUUUUAAUCUAAAUAUUUAGUUUUACAAAUACGAGCACAAUAUACUUUGUAUUUGAUACUCUAUUUGGAAUAUAUUUUUCAAAACUUAUUUUUAACCUUAUCUAACUUCUAAUAAAAAGGGGAAUGAAGUCUACUAUUCAUGCAAUAGUAAAUGAAUCUAAUUUUACUAUGCAUGAUAUCAUUUUUUAUUUUCCAUUUUAUUUAUGUUAAAUAAAUAUUCUUCCACAUAUUAUCCUACUAGCAUUAAAAAAAUAAUUAUGUCAAACAAAUGUUUUUCCACAUAUCAUGCCACUAACAUUAAAAAAAUAAUAAUAAUUUUAGUAAAUAUAAACUGUCAUGAGAGGAAAAAAAAACUCUUCAUACAUGAGUUUUAAAAAAAAUAAAAAAUAAACUCCCCACACAGUGCGGAGAGAUGGCAAACCAUGUGCGGAGUAUAGAAGGAAAAACAACUCUACGCAUAGUGCAGAGAUGACAAACCAUGUGCGGAGAGUUGGCAAACUCUCCGUACGGUGCGAAAUAAAAAAAAACUCUCCAUACAGUGCGGAGAGAUGGCAAACACCAUGGCAAAACUCUCCGCACAAUGCGGAGAGAUGACAUUCUGUGUGGACACUGUCCUCACAAAGUGCGGGCUCUCCAUACAGUGCAAAGUAAAAAAAGCAAAAAAAAAAAAAAAAACUUCGCACAGUGCGAAGAGUUGACAAAUUCUCCGUACAGUGCGAAAUUAAAAGAAAAAAAACAUCUCCACACAGUGACUGUCACGUGCGUUGCAAGAAUUUUGCAUUUAUCGUAUUUUUAUUAGUGUAUGAAUUUUAAUUUUUUGGAAAGUUUUUGAAACAAUACUUAAAAAUAUUUCCAUGAUAUAAGAAAAUAAUUGCAAAUUAUUUUUACAAUUGUAUAAUAGUAUUGUGUCAUCUAGAAAAAAUAUACUUGUAUAUUUCAUAUUUGAAUAAGAAAUAUAUGAGAUCAUACAAAUUAUUUUGUUUGUAUUCUUUGAUAGUGUUGAUAUUAUUGAGUUGAAUGUGAAGAUUAUAUUUCUAGAUUUUGUGUAAUUCAAUAUUAGAAAAUUGAAAAUUGAGCACCAUAUUCAUAUGCAUUUAUAUUUUGUGCUUCAUAUAUAUUUAAUAUUUAUAUUAUGCUUAUGUUGAAAAAAAUAAAAAUCUGAUUUUUUUUUGAAAUUCGAUUUGAUAAGUGAAUGUACGGUGUUCUGCAUUCUUGGUAUUAGUAAGUGCAAAAAUCGAUAUAUAAAAAUACAGUAAGCUGCAAAUACGGUAGACAGCAUAUACGGUAAAUUGUAAAUAUGGUAAGUAGCAUAUACGGUAAGUAGCAAAUACGGUAAGGUGAAAAUACGAUAAGUUAUUUGCAAAUACAGUAAGUUGCAAAUACGGUAGGCAACAUAUACAGUAAGGUUCAAAUACAAUAAGAUGCAAAUACGGUAAGUUGUUUACAAAUACGGUAGACUGAAAAUAAGAUAAGCUGCAAAUACGAUAGACAGCAUUUGCGGUAAGCUGCCUGCAAAUACCGUAAGGUGCAUAUAUGGAUUUAUAAUUUGUUAUAAAUGUAUAAAAUCUAUUUAAUAUUGAAUUUCUUAAGUAUUAACUGUACAAUUCAAUAUUGUUUCCUUUUUUAUAAUUGUAUUUUCGAGAAUUAAAAAAAUGGUUAUGAAAUUAUUAAUUUUUAAAUGUGUUUUUUUGUUGAAAAGAAAAAUGAUUUUUUUAUGUUAUUUGUAAAAAAAAAAUAUAUUGUAAUUUUAUUAGCGCAAUAAGAAGAUUUAUUAUCCAUUUUUAUUUUUUGCAUUUUGUGAAAAAAUUUGUUUAUGGUGAUUGACAAAUAUACUUUUACACACACACAUCAUGCCAACAAUAUAAAAAAAGAAUAAUAAUUUUAAUAUAUAUAAACUCCAUGAAACACAAAAAAAAUCUCCGCACAUGAGCAAAAAAAAAAAAGACUCCGCAAAGUGCGGAGAGAUGGCAAACUAUCUGUCCGCAUAGUGUGAAGAGAAAAAUAAAAACUCUCGGGAUUUUAUCUGCAAGUUCCAAGAGGUCUUUUCUCAAACAACCUUUGAGCAAUGCAUUGAAUACUUUAAUUCCUGGUCUACAACCCGAAAGUAUAAUUUCGUUGAAAAUUGUAUCCACUUCUAAUGUCCAAAAGCUGUUAUUAAGCAAGUGUAAAAUAUUGAAUUUGGAUGGUAUCCUAAAGCCUCCUUUUGUGAAAGCAAUGCCAUUGUACUAUCAAUAUCCCCUUCUUUGCACAACUCACAUAUUAUUUCAUUCUAUGAUUUGCAUGCUCAGAAAUUGAACUGUGACCGAAAUUUAAUGAAGACAUUAUUGAUUUUGAGCCAUGUUUUUCAACUCUGUUUCAUUGUAUAUACGAAAAAUUUACAAUAUUGAAAUUUGACUUGUAAUUAAGGAAUUUGAAAACAACUCUCCGUACUGUGCGGAGAGUUUUGCCAUGGUGUGAACCAACUCUCCGCAUUGUGCGGAGAGAGUAAGUUUGUCAUCUUUCCGCAUUGUGCAGAGAGAUUUUUUUUUACUUCGUACUGUGUGAAGAAUUUGCCAACUCUCCACACAUGGUUCAAUUCUCUCCGCACCUUUUUUUAUUUUUACUCCGCACUUGGUUCAACUCUUUUCGCACUGUGCAGAGAAUUUUUUUUUCAAUUUUACAAUAUUUAAUUAAACAAAUUUAUAAAUAUAAUAUUCACAUUCAAUUCAAUCAUAUCAACACCAUCAAAGAAUACAAACAAAAUAGUUUGUAUAUUUCUUAUUCAAGCAGAUUUUUUUUAGAUAACAUAUUGCUAUGCAAUUGUAAAAAUAAUUUACAAUUAUUGUCUUAUAUCAUGAAAAUAUUUUUAGAUAUUGCUUCAAAAAUUUUUUAAAAAAAUUAAAAUUCAUACACUAAUAAAAAUCCGAUAAAUACAAAAUUCGUGCAGCGCACGUGAUAGCGACUAGUAUUCUUCUAAUGUGCAUGAAACCAUAAUUUAUUUCUUAAUUGUUAAUCGCACAUUUUUCGUAAAAUAAUUUUUCACAAAACUUAUUUUAAAAAAUCUACAACAAAUAUGCACUAAAUCAAAAGAACGUUAAACAUUGAAUUUCAUUAACUUUCUCAUUUCCCUUUCUCUGAAAUGUGCUAAAAUUUUUCAUAUGAUCUAAAAUAAACGAUUACAAGAUCGAGGAAGAUUUCAUAAUCAAUAUAGAUUAAUGUGAAAUAAAAGCCAAGACCUCAUGGAAUUUAAGCAUCAAUUUUUUUGAACAUAAAUACAAGUUGCAACAUAAAUAGUAAAUACUAUUAACUAGUUGUAUCAAGAAAUUUCUUGGCAUUGUUUUUAAAUUUUUUAAGAGGUUCAUUUGAAUUUUUGUUCAAUUGAUUAUGCCAAUAUACAAAUCGUGCAAGACUAUCAAAUAAUUCAAACUUAAACUCUUUUUCUUCUUAAGUAUGACUAUCUAUUAAACACAAGCAAAUGAACAAAAAUAUAACAUUAGAAGACUUUGUUGAACUCACAUAAAGUAUUAUACAAUGCUUUAAAAACCAACUUGAUCAUCAACCCAAAAAAAGGUCAAGGAUCAAGAGUCAAAAAGUUCAACUAGGGUCGAAUUGGGAUCGAACCGAAUGUAGUAAAUACAUAAAAAAUAAAAUACUAUGAAAACAAUAAUUUUUUUCAUAUUAAUAAUUUGUUAAUUAGAUUCAUUAUUUCAUAGUUUCUUAACAUUUUUGUUAUGCUAUUAUUCCAUAUUGGAAGUUUAUGAAACCAUUGAAGAGAAGUGCAUCUGUAAAAUGCACUAUCGCACAUUGAAAGUUUAUAAAAUCAUUUAAGAGAGGUGCAUUUAUAAAAGGAACAUCUCAUCCAAUAUUUCUACAUGGGCCUUUGAAUUGUUGUUUACGAGACCCAUUCAUGAAGUUGAAAAUUUUCAAAUUAAAAAAAGAAAGGGAAAACCACAAAUCGAGACUGGUUCAUCGGUUUACAAUUAAACCGGUGGGUUUGAUGGGUUUUUAAGCGGCUUAGUUAUAAGCGGUUAACUAGACAUGAUUGACCUGGUUUUACCGGUUGAACCAGCCGGGCCAGGCCGUUUUGAUAACAUCGAUAUUAUAUCAUUUGACAAUUCAUUCAGGACAAUGCUACCUGUACAUAAUUUUUUACACACGGCCUUACACACCCUUCACUUGGAGGGGGCCCACACACAAUAAAAUAUUUGUGGGUCCCCUUUCAUGUGAGGAGAGUUUAAAGCUGUGUGUAUACCUUGAGAUGUAUAUAUAGUAUUAUUCAUUCAUAAAAACCUCAUAAGUAAUGCAACUAAAGCUAAUCCUUCAAUUAUUCAAUGCUUGACUUAUGUGCGCACAUGCAUGCAUAGUCAAUUUAAUCAUUACGAGCUUUUAGGAUGGUUAUCUCCUGACACUUAAUAAUCAAAUAUUUUCUUUUCUUUUUCCUCGUGGGAUUCAUACCCACAAACUUUUUUUUGUCCCAAUCAAAUAUUUAAGUUGUAUAUUUUAUGGUUGAUUUUAUAAUACUAAGUCAUUUUCCUCUCAAAUUUGGUUAGGUUUUAUCAAUGAAAGUCACUGUCUCGAUAUGUGAUGGUUCUCUUUAGAUUUGAAUGUUUCAAUCUCCAAGCUUCAAUUAGGAUAAUAACCAUCACUGGAAAUCUAAAUUUCAAAUUAAGUAUUCAACGCUUAGCCAUAUAAUGACAAUGUUUAUAAUUGUUCUGCCACAGUCUCAACACACUUUGAUAUAUAUAUUUUUCUUUUAAUUUGUCUCUUCUUCCAAUUUUGGGAUCUUUCCUUUAGUUAUCAAAUGUAGUUUUCACUAUACAUUGCAGAUAACCUUCUUCAUUGAUAGAUCGUCUCCUAAACAUCGAUGAUAAAUUGGGCAAAAAAAAAAAAAAACAUUCUAGAAAAAUAUCCAGUGAGUACAAAAUCAACACAUAUGUACUUCCAACAUCGGGACAACCACUCCCAAAGCAUUCCUUUCAACAAGUCAUUUGCACUACAUAAUUUAAUCUUAGAUUAUAAAGAACUAAGUUCAUUACAUAUUCUAUAAAAGUAAUCAAAUCAAAAAUACAUAAAAGCAUCAUGACUAUUGUGCUCAAUAUAAUAUUACUUCACACAAUCCAAAAAAUAUUUGGGUGUGUGGGGUUGGGUGCAAAUUUUAUUUGAUUUUUGAUUUAAUUAUUUUAAUUAUUUAAAUUGAGAAAUGUAAAUUUAGUAUUUUAUCCUUUUAAAAAUUGGUUGAAAACAACUUUUCUGGUCAAUUAACGGUGGAAUGGAUGGAUUCCAUCUAUUUGUCUUUCUACUGCAAAGAAAUUAAAUGUUUAGGACUGUGAGGGACAUAAAUAAAAAGUUUGGAUAUUAUCUAAAAUUAAUUGAAAAAUAUUAGCAUUUUUAAAUUUUGGCCCUAAUUAGUGUAUUUUUAAUGCUUAAAGUAACGAAAUUGAAUGGUAGAUAGUAUUUUGCAAGGUUUGAGCUAUCUAUGGGGAUUUUCACCAAAAAUGAAAAACUAAAAGGAUAUUCCUCAAAGACGGAACUGUCAAAAAGUUUAGAGUGAAUUACCCUUAAAGUCCGUUUGAUAGCAAAGGUUAAAAAGAUACACUAAUUCCACGUAAGUUGGGAAAGAAAAAAUCACCAAAAUCAUAAGAAUUCGAUUUUUAUGAAAUUGGCCAAAAAAUAUUCUUUAAGUGUUUGUACCUUGAAAUUUGAACUUCAUUUUCACUUUCGUAUCAAAUAGUUAAGGUAGAAAAACGAAUUCAUUUCCAUGAAAUACGAAGUUAUCAAUUGGAAUAAUUUUGCUUUUUGCUCUACUUUUUAUUGUACCCCCAAAAUGCCACGCGUGCCCUUAGUCCCGUUGGGCUCUUUCCUAUCACAAAAUUAUAGUAUUCGCUAGAAUCACAAUGAACUAUCCAGUAGCUUUCACGCAGGCCAUGGAAUGGAUGGAUUCCAUCUAUUUGUCUUUCUACUGCAAAGAAAUUAAAUGUUUAGGACUGUGAGGGACAUAAAUAAAAAGUUUGGAUAUUAUCUAAAAUUAAUUGAAAAAUAUUAGCAUUUUUAAAUUUUGGCCCUAAUUAGUGUAUUUUUAAUGCUUAAAGUAACGAAAUUGAAUGGUAGAUAGUAUUUUGCAAGGUUUGAGCUAUCUAUGGGGAUUUUCACCAAAAAUGAAAAACUAAAAGGAUAUUCCUCAAAGACGGAACUGUCAAAAAGUUUAGAGUGAAUUACCCUUAAAGUCCGUUUGAUAGCAAAGGUUAAAAAGAUACACUAAUUCCACGUAAGUUGGGAAAGAAAAAAUCACCAAAAUCAUAAGAAUUCGAUUUUUAUGAAAUUGGCCAAAAAAUAUUCUUUAAGUGUUUGUACCUUGAAAUUUGAACUUCAUUUUCACUUUCGUAUCAAAUAGUUAAGGUAGAAAAACGAAUUCAUUUCCAUGAAAUACGAAGUUAUCAAUUGGACCUUAGUAAAAAUAAUUUUGCUUUUUGCUAUACUUUUUAUUGUACCCCCAAAAUGCCACGCGUGCCCUUAGUCCCGUUGGGCUCUUUCCUAUCACAAAAUUAUAGUAUUCGCUAGAAUCACAAUGAACUAUCCAGUAGCUUUCACGCAGGCCACCCCCCGCUUCUUCACCAAAUGUCGACCACCAAAAUGACACCGUCCGCUGCCGGACUCUCCGCCACAAUCAAACAUCUCAGCUGCCUUUCAUCAUCACGGACCUUCUUCGCUACCUCCAUUAGAUUAACCCGACCCGGAAUUGGAAAGAGGGCGAGAAGCCUGACCGUGACAAUGAGUUCAAAACCGUCCGACCCGCUUGAAGUUUGUGCUAAGGCUUCCCUCACCAAGCCCAACAAGCUCGGCGACUGUGAGUGAAAUUGAAUUAUAUUGUUUAAACAUGGAAUUCAUUUGGGUUUUGUUUUCUUUUCUGUAAUUAAGUUUAGUUCGCAGAAGAAAGGAGUACAAUAGGAUGUUUGGCCAAGCUUAGAAAAUCACUAAUAAGUAAUUUUAUAAUUCGGAUUAGACUUGAAACCACUUUGUUGUAAGCGGAAUGGCUUCGAUAGUUGAGAAUCCAGCCAAAUAAAGAUGAAAUAUGGGCAAUAUGAAAAUAAUGGAUCACAAGCAAAACAAGAUUUACAUGAAAACUCGAAUCCGGGAAAACCAUGAGCAGAAGUGGUGAAUUCAUUAUAAUCAAUAGUAUGGAGUUAUAAAGUAUCUUUUGGACCAAUAAUUAAUUGGAUAAUUGGUCAGUUUUAAUAUGUGUUGUACACCACAUAUUUAAUAUAAGGUGAAAGUCCCGAUACAAUAGGUAAAACCAAUAAUGGAGAAUUUGUGAUGAAAUAAGAGUUAAAUUCACCUUGGACUCCUUUAAAACAUCGUCAAGUCUACUACCAACUCCCAAUAUUUCUCCAACAAUAUUUCCCAUUAAAU
rnacentral:lncRNA from 1 species